AAUAAAGAAACAUUUCAAACCACAUAUAAUGGCACUCAUAUAAAAUAUUCAAUAUAAAAUCCCAGUAUGACACAUUUGCUGUAGGUUAAACUUAUCAGAGCAGUCAACCUCAGUAGGGAUUGACAGAGAACAAUGGAGAGUGGUCAGUGAAAAUGAAGACUAAUCCUACUAAAGGCAAGGUUGAAAACUGAGCUAUAGAAAAGGUAAGAUAUAUACAUGUCAUAUUUUCUGGUAUGGUCCUAUUAAAAAUCCUCAUUAUAAUGAUGGAAGCCAAUUUGGGCUCGGAGAAAAUAUGUUCACCAUAGCUAAGCUAUAUCUGAAAACAUUUUCAAUAUCCUAAAGUAAAAUGUUCAGUUGAACUAUUUUGACUCCACAAAUGGCUGAACAGAGGGUGCGAAGUGCACAAGAGGAUUUAAAAUACAUCCACUCAGAACACAGAGCCUAGCACUUGAAAUUGACAGCACUCAUUGAGAUAGGCUGUGGAUAUCCUUCCCUAGGGUAACAUUAAACAUAUAAAAAACUGUUAUGUCCUGAAAGAGUCCUGAGUCACAAACAGAAAAGUUUAUGGGGGCCACUCAGCUAACAGGGUGGGUAUAAAGGGGCAGAGCAGAUGGGGCCUGUAAGGAACCAUGUCACAACACAGUGUUAAGGCCUUCCAAUUCAAUAUUUUAAGACACAGUGUAGGAUUUGUGGGCAGACUCUCCAUGUUUAGGUAGAUUUUAUUCAUCCAUUUAACAAGUACUGACUGAACACUCACUGGCUAUCUGAAAUCCAGGAUCUGGUCUAAAAGCUGUUGUGAGGUUCUUUUCCAUUCUACUGCUCUUAAGGAAUGUUUAAUGGUAAAAUAGGGUAAAUAUAUGACAACCUAUAAAAAAACUGAAGACACAAAAGAGUGAAAAUAACUCAGAAGAGGAAGAAAAACACAAGGAACUGAAAAAGAAAAUGACUUUCUUUGAAAAUAAAAAGUUUACUUUGCAUUAAGUAUAACAAUAUGCACUCUAUAAACUCUCAGAAACACAACUAAAAAUACGUCAGAAGCCUUGAUAAUUUUGAAAAUAACAGUCUUUUUAUCAUACAUUUGACCGAGAUGCUGUAAGAUCUAUGAAAUGUCAGGUCAUGCAGAAUUUGUUUACAUGCUCUUCGUUAUACACUGAGGCUUUUCCCUAAAAUUGCAUAGAAAGAACACUUCAUUAAAACUCAUUCAAAUUUUACAACUACAAAAAGCAAAGAAAACUGGUAGAGGUGAAUGAAUCUCUCUUCUCCAGGAUAGCAGGACUACUGAAUGGUAGAUAGUAUCUUCCUUAGCCCCUUAAGUUUGAUGAGGAGGCCAACUGCGAGGAGAGAACCCAAGUGCCAGGUAUAUGGGCAGGGGUACAAGAGGUACAGCCCUGGCCGCCUUGAAAGGAAACGAGAUUCGUCCUCAUCGCUUGGAAGUUUCUGAUAGCGCAUUCCACCUCCCUUAAGCUUCAGAUCCGUCUGGAAGAGACUUGACCUUUCUGAGGAUUUCUUACCUGGGAGAAGUUUACUGCCUGACUGAUCAGAUUUUUCAUC